rnacentral:rRNA from 1 species
UACAGAGGUCCCGAGCGUUGUUCGGAUUCAUUGGGCGUAAAGGGUGCGUAGGUGGCGUGGUAAGUCGGGUGUGAAAUUUCGGAGCUUAACUCCGAAACUGCAUUCGAUACUGCCGUGCUUGAGGACUGGAGAGGAGACUGGAAUUUACGGUGUAGCGGUGAAAUGCGUAGAGAUCGUGAGGAAGCCCAGUGGCGAAGGCGGGUCUCUGGACAGUUCCUGACACUGAGGCCCGAAUGCCCGGGGAGCAAACGGG